GCCAGGGGUCUUGGACAGUAGCUUAUCCAAACUCCUCAUUUACAGAGAUUUUAUGGACCCUUCAACAUCACUAAAACACUAUUGGAGCCUCACAAGCCUAUAAAAUCCAAAGGACAACUGGGUAAUUCUAUAUAGACAUUCUUAAAUUUUUGACCUAAAAGGAAAAGGCUGAGGUAAAAUUAAUAUAAGUAGAGGGCAGGGCACAGUGGUUCACAACUCUAAUCCCAGCACUUUGGGAGGCUGAGGCAGGAGGAUUGCCUGAGGUUAGGAGUUUGAAACCAGCCUGCACAACACGGUGAGACCCUGUCUCUACCAAAUCAAAAAAAAAAAUUAGCCAGGUGUGGUGGCGCAUGCCUGUAGUUCCAGCUACUCAGGAGGCUGAGGUGGGAGGACUGCUUGAGUCCAGAAAUUGGAGAUAACAGUGAAGUGUGGGUCAUUGUGUUUGGUGCAGCAUUAUUCGGUUAAUUUCUAGCUACCUGUGGCAAUAGUAAGUAGUUGCAAGAAAUGAAUACAUAGCUCAUGGGUUAAGUAGGAUGUGAUUGUUAUCUCAUUUUACGUCUCUCUGGGCCUGAUAAUUUAAAAGGAUUCAUAUUCCUCGAAUAAAAGUUAUCUCCUUUUCUCAAGAUCAAUGGUCCCUACUGGCACCUAUCAAACUGGCCAUGCCCAUGCCCAUUCUGGGCCCAUAUGGAAGCUCUGUUUGCACCUUUUGGUUGACCUCUGAGGAGCAGCUUGGAUACCUUCUUCCCCUUAAUACUGUAGAGGCUCUCUCUGCAACAGAACUCCCUACAUCUCACAGCACCAGCCUCCGUUCUCCUACCAAGUGUGAUUUGUGUGUCUAGCCUUCUCUAGGACUUCUGCCAGAUUGGCCUCUCUUCAGGUACAGCUAGGAGAGCCACAUUCAAAACCAAGAAGAGAAAGGAGUCAUAGAGCCACAGCCAGAAUGUUUAGGAUCCAAGGUGGCUGCCAGGACUCCAGAUGUCACAUCCCUUUCCCAAGCAGCAGGAUGGAGAGAGAAAGAGAGAAGGUCGUCCAGUCUCUCUUUGAGAAGACUUCCUGGAAGAAUUGCACAUCUGCAGAUGUUCCGUGGAGCAUCAUCACCAAAAAUGCACACGAAACUGCCACUAGAAGCAAAUGGAGGAAGCACACAGCAGGACUGGGUGUCUUUAAUUGCCAUUGUGGUGAGAGGUUUAUUUGCUCUUUUAAACAAUUAAUUCUAACGUGUACUUGA
rnacentral:lncRNA from 1 species